rnacentral:pre_miRNA from 1 species
AUAAUACUCCCUCCGUUCCUAAAUGUAAGUCUUUUUAGAGAUUCCAAUAAGAGACUACAUACGGAUGUAUAUAGACAUAUUUUAGAGUGUGGAUUCACUCAUUUUGCUCCGUAUGUAGUCACUUAUUGAAAUCUCUAAAAAGACUUAUAUUUAGGAACGGAGGGAGUAUAUG